rnacentral:rRNA from 1 species
UUCGUCGUUUCGCUAGUAGUUUGAUAUUGGUGGCCUCGAAGACUUCACGUUUUUGGUAUUCUUUUGCGUAGUCGCGAUUGAAUCGAGCCAAAGGCUAGGUCAACUUCUACAGAAGAAGACCCAGUUCCUCGCGUAGGGCGCCGCCGCGGUUGGGCCUCACCUCGUUCUUCCUCUUGUUUGACAAGCUCCUACGUGAGCGGAUGAUGCCGCUCCCGUGCGGGCUGGCGACCGAGUUCCACAGGGCGCGGUACCCGCCGUGGUUCUGCCGGCUGCUCCACGCGGCGGUGAUGCUCUAGGAACUGCCGCUGUAGUUCGACUAGCUCAGGCCGUCCCAGGGAAAGGGGUUGAUGUCGUGGGUCCCCCGAACCUUGACUAAGUAGUUAGUUCCUCGUUUCGAAGACUUAAGACUUCUAGGACGUUUGUCCUAUUAGAUCAGGAACCGACCCUGGUAUAAUAACUUCGUUCGUAUUAAUAUAUACAUACAUAUUGCUUCUAACACCCGUGAACCAAUCCUUAUUUUUCUUCUUUUGUAUACACACACAUGUAUUAUGAUCCAAACAUUCCUUUAGUUUCCGCGAACUAGAGAGUCUGCGAUCGUACAUAAAAAGUAAGACAUGUCAUAAUGAGUAGGGGUUUUUCAAAACCUCAUUCGUAGUCACCACAUUUAGUAGGGGACAUGAACACACAUCUCAAAUACUUGAACACGAACCAUCUUAUAAGGACAGCACAGAUAGAAGUUCUAAGCCUACAAAGGCCAACGUGAAAUGUUAAAUAGUAAUAGCUAGGGAAGCCUCUUUCUUCCUCAUCUUCGUUCAUACUGACAC